GACGAACGCUGGCGGCGUGCCUAAUACAUGCAAGUUGAGCGCUGAAGGUUGGUACUUGUACCAACUGGAUGAGCAGCGAACGGGUGAGUAACGCGUGGGGAAUCUGCCUUUGAGCGGGGGACAACAUUUGGAAACGAAUGCUAAUACCGCAUAAAAACUUUAAACACAAGUUUUAAGUUUGAAAGAUGCAAUUGCAUCACUCAAAGAUGAUCCCGCGUUGUAUUAGCUAGUUGGUGAGGUAAAGGCUCACCAAGGCGAUGAUACAUAGCCGACCUGAGAGGGUGAUCGGCCACAUUGGGACUGAGACACGGCCCAAACUCCUACGGGAGGCAGCAGUAGGGAAUCUUCGGCAAGGGACGAAGGUCUGACCGAGCAACGCCGCGUGAGUGAAGAAGGUUUUCGGAUCGUAAAACUCUGUUGGUAGAGAAGAACGUUGGUGAGAGUGGAAAGCUCAUCAAGUGACGGUAACUACCCAGAAAGGGACGGCUAACUACGUG
rnacentral:rRNA from 1 species